rnacentral:rRNA from 1 species
GAUGAACGCUGGCGGCGUGCCUAACACAUGCCAGUCGAGCGAACAGAUGAGGAGCUUGCUCCUCUGACGUUAGCGGCGGACGGGUGAGUAACAUGUGGAUAACCUACCUAUAAGACUGGGAUAACUUCGGGAAACCGUAGCUAAUACCGGAUAAUAAAUUGAAACGCAUGGUUCAAUAGUGAAAGCCGGUUUUGCUGUUACUUAUAGAUGGAUCCGCGCCGCAUUAGCUAGUUGGCGAGGUAACGGCCUACCAAGGCAACGAUGCGUAGCCGGCCUGAGAGGGUGACCAGCCACACUGGAACUGAGACACGGUCCAGACUCCUACGGGAGGCAGCAGUGGGGAAUCUUGGACAAUGGGCGAAAGCCUGACGCAGCAACGCCGCGUGAGUGAUGAAGGUCUUCGGAUCGUAAAACUCUGUUAUUAGGAAAGAACAACUGUGUAAGAAACUAGGCACGUCUUGACGGUACCUAAUCAGAAAGCAACGGCUAACUACGUG